UCAGGAACGGAGGGGAGCUCUUUCAACCCGACCCCAGCAUAAACACAACCCGCAGGCCCCGUCCCGCCCCACAGCGAAAGACUUGGUGCUUCUCACCAAGACCACGUGUGCAAACACAAAGCAGGUGCCGCAGCGCACCGCAGGCCGGCGAUCCCAGUUACUUGGGGAGGCUGAGGCAGGAAGAUCCCAAAUUCGAGACCAACCGGGACAACUUUGUGAGACCCCUCGCAAAAUAAGAAAUUAAAAACUUCUCUGUGUGCAAAGGGCUGUGAACUGGGCUGUGUGCCCGCAGAGCUUCGGAGGCGCUGCAUGUGGACCCCAGCCAGGUCCUGGGCAGCAGCUCCGCCCCUAAGCCAGGCGGGGCUGGGACUGAGCUGCUCCUGCACCAAGGCCACUGCCCGCCCUGCCCUGCCCGGCUCCGAGCGCCCCUGGACACAGAGAUAACUCCAGGGCCCUGCGUCACCAGCCUGCUGUGCUUUUAAAUCAACAGCCCAGGAGCCCGCGCGGGGCAGGAUGGGAUGGUCAAAAGGCUGCUGGGGAAAGGACAGCCGGGUGACUUCAGUCAGGAGCCGUAUUUCUUCUCCAUCCUCCUCUGACCUUGGUUCCAAGCUGCCUGCUGACGCAGCUCUGCUGGCCACGCCGUGGGAACUACACACGGCUGCUCAGGGAGGAAGACAUGGCUGACCCUGCUGUCCCCACCCCACGGGCAACAUGACCUGCACAGUCACUUAAACCUGCCCCAGGGCCGGCGUGCUGGCCUGCAUUGGUUUUCCCAGCACUUGGGAGGCUGAGGCAGGAGGGUCACGGGAAGGGUGAGACCCUGUCUCAACACGCCCACCCCAAAAUAAGAUGGAACCUUUCUCCAAGUGGGUUUUUCUCAAAUGAGUGUUGAUAUCCAGAUGUUAUGUGCAUUAAAUCUCAGAGAAGCUGA